GACGAACGCUGGCGGCGUGCUUAACACAUGCAAGUCGAACGGUAAGGCCCUUCGGGGUACACGAGUGGCGAACGGGUGAGUAACACGUGGGUGAUCUGCCCUGCACUUCGGGAUAAGCCUGGGAAACUGGGUCUAAUACCGGAUAGGACCACUGCCUGCAUGGGUGGUGGUGGAAAGCUUUUGCGGUGUGGGAUGGGCCCGCGGCCUAUCAGCUUGUUGGUGGGGUGAUGGCCUACCAAGGCGACGACGGGUAGCCGGCCUGAGGGGGUGACCGGCCACACUGGGACCGAGAUACGGCCCAGACUCCUACGGGAGGCAGCAGUGGGGAAUAUUGCACAAUGGGCGCAAGCCUGAUGCAGCGACGCCGCGGGAGGGAUGACGGCCUUCGGGUUGUAAACCUCUUUCAGCACCGACGAAGCGCAAGUGACGGUAGGUGCAGAAGAAGGACCGGCCAACUACGUGCCAGCCGCCGCCGUAA
rnacentral:rRNA from 1 species